CAGCAGCCGCGGUAAUACGAAGGGGGCUAGCGUUGUUCGGAAUUACUGGGCGUAAAGCGCACGUAGGCGGAUAUUUAAGUCAGGGGUGAAAUCCCAGAGCUCAACUCUGGAACUGCCUUCGAUACUGGGUAUCUUGAGUAUGGAAGAGGUGAGUGGAAUUCCGAGUGUAGAGGUGAAAUUCGUAGAUAUUCGGAGGAACACCAGUGGCGAAGGCGGCUCACUGGUCCAUUACUGACGCUGAGGUGCGAAAGCGUGGGGAGCAAACAGGAUUAGAUACCCCUGUAGUCCCUGUCUCUUAUAC
rnacentral:rRNA from 1 species